rnacentral:rRNA from 1 species
UACGUAGGGCGCAAGCGUUGUCCGGAAUUAUUGGGCGUAAAGAGCUCGUAGGUGGCUUGUCACGUCGGGUGUGAAAGCUUGGGGCUUAACUCCAGGUCUGCAUUCGAUACGGGCAGGCUAGAGUUCGGUAGGGGAGAUCGGAAUUCCUGGUGUAGCGGUGAAAUGCGCAGAUAUCAGGAGGAACACCGGUGGCGAAGGCGGAUCUCUGGGCCGAUACUGACGCUGAGGAGCGAAAGCGUGGGGAGCGAACAGG